GCAGUGGUUCAAUGGCAGAAUUCUUGCCUUGCAUGCAAGAGACUUAAGUUCGAUUCCCAGCCAAUGCA
rnacentral:tRNA from 1 species